CACACACACCUUCUACACAAGACCGAGGUAACGCAACACACACAUCUUCUACACAAGACCGAGGUAACGCAACACACACAUCUUCUACACAAGACCAAGGUAACGCAACACACACCUUCUACACAAGACCAAGGUAACACAACACACACACCUUCUACACAAGACCAAGGUAACGCAACACACACACUUUCUACACAAGACCAAGGUAACACAACACACACACCUUCUACACAACAAGGUAACGCAACACGCACACCUUCUACACAAGACCGAGGUAACACAACACACACAUCUUCUACACAAGACCAAGGUAACACAACACACACACCUUCUACACAACAAGGUAACGCAACACGCACACCUUCUACACAAGACCGAGGUAACACAACACACACAUCUUCUACACAAGACCGAGGUAACGCAACACGCACACCUUCUACACAAGACCAAGGUAACGCAACACACACACUUUCUACACAAGACCAAGGUAACACAACACACACACCUUCUACACAAGACCAAGGUAAUGCAGCACACACCUUCUACACAACAAGGUAACGCAACACACACACCUUCUACACAAGACCGAGGUAACACAACACACACACCUUCUACACAACAAGGUAACGCAACACGCACACCUUCUACACAACAAGGUAACACAACACACACACCUUCUACACAAGACCAAGGUAACACAACACGCACACCUUCUACACAAGACCGAGGUAACGCAACACACACACCUUCUACACAAGACCAAGGUAACGCAACACACACACCUUCUACACAAGACCAAGGUAACACAACACACACACCUUCUACACAACAAGGUAACGCAACACGCACACCUUCUACACAAGACCAAGGUAACACAACACACACACCUUCUACACAACAAGGUAACGCAACACGCACACCUUCUACACAAGACCAAGGUAACACAACACACACACCUUCUACACAACAAGGUAACGCAACACACACACCUUCUACACAAGACCGAGGUAACACAACACACACAUCUUCUACACAAGACCGAGGUAACGCAACACGCACACCUUCUACACAAGACCAAGGUAACACAACACACACACCUUCUACACAAGACCAAGGUAACACAACACACACACCUUCUACACAACAAGGUAACGCAACACGCACACCUUCUACACAAGACCAAGGUAACGCAACACACACACCUUCUACACAAGACCAAGGUAACAACGCACACCUUCUACACAAGACCGAGGUAACACAACACACACACCUUCUACACAAGACCAAGGUAACGCAACACACACCUUCUACACAAGACCAAGGUAACGCAACACACACCUUCUACACAAGACCGAGGUAACACAACACACACACACCUUCUACACAACAAGGUAACACAACACACACCUUCUACACAAGACCAAGGUAACACAACACACACACACC